CAGGAACACAAACAUGUAUUCAUAACACUAUCUAGCCCGCCUGGUCCCCGCAUUGCCCCCCGAAACCUAGCAAAAUCUUACCUUUACUCCAGUCUGCUGCUGCUGGCUCUGCCCCUGAUCUUCCUGCUUGGCAGACAUCAUCAGAAGUGAUUCUGUCAGCCAAUCACAAUGCUUUCACAUUGGAUUGGUUGAGAUUGUCAGGGGGCAGAGUCAGCACAAGCCAAACACAGCCCUGGACAAUCAGCAUCUCUUCAUAAAGAUACAUUGAAUUAAUGCAUCUCUAUGAGUAAAGUUCAGUUUCUCCAUGCAAAGUUUGGAGACCCUGAAUGGCAG